GGUCCCCUUUAAAGACAAAGAAGUGAAUCACAUGAACCAUUAAAGGGCUCAUGGCCACCCAAGGCUUAUUGAUGCAUGUGCUUAGCGCGAUGAUGGGUACGAGGCCAGAAGAAGCGCAACUAGCGUAAAACUUCGCCGGCGGCCGCCUCACUUCUGAGGGCCCUGAUACCUGUCUGAUACCAGGGUUGUCCGUCUUUGCCAAAAGAGUGGAGCCACAGCAGCCCUGCACCUAUACUUCUGAUCAGAUGUUCUCUGGGUACUCGUGCAUGCUGCCAGAUGUCCUCUAUAUGUUCUGUUCUCAUAUGCUUGUAUUUGAGCACAGCAUGUUGGUGAGGUAUCUCCUGUCUAUGUGUCACCCGCUCACUCAACCUGGACUGUUUGUUUGCCCGCUGUGUCGCAAGUUGCGGCUGUUUAGUUUUGUUGUUUGUUUGGGGUGUGUGUGUUAAGUGUCCUUUCUUCCACUCAUUGUGCAGUGCUCUGUCAUUUAUGUUUCUUCCCGAUUUAGACUACUGGCGGCUACUGCGCCCACCCCCUUGUAUUAUCAUUUAUGUUUCUUUAGUGUCCUUAUGGCUACUGAUUUACAUGUGGUGUGGAAUGUAAGGGGCCUCAAUGAUCCCACCAAGCAUCUUGCUGUUUUAUAGGCGCUCAAACCUUAUCAGUCUGCUGCAUUGUGCCUCUCUGAGACACACUUGACGAGUGACACUAAACCAUGGUUUGGUCAUACCUUCCACGCUACUUUUUCCUCUCAUGCCCGGGGUGUAAGUGUGCUCAUUCAUAAAAGCAUUUUAUUUUCAUGCACUUCUAGUCUCAUGGACCCGGAGGGUAGGUUUGUUUGUCUUUAUGGCACUUUAAACCGUCCCUAGUGUGGGCUGGUUGCACUCUAUAUUCCCAACAUCCCGAACAGCUUGCAGGACAGCAGGAGGGUCCCUACCUGCCUCCUCGCUGUCCGAUCCCUGAAUGACUGCUGAAUGACUGCUCAGUGCCUGAGAUCCAGGCAUGAGCAGUCAAGCGGUAGAAUCAUCGAUCACUGGUUUCCUAUGAGAAACCAGUGAUCAAUGUGAAAGAUCAGUGUGUGCAGUGU